CAGUGGAGCUCGUCCUUAACUUCCAGUCCUGACAUACUCAGUCCUGACAUACUCAGGACUGGGAGAUACGGACGAGCUCUAUUG
rnacentral:pre_miRNA from 1 species